rnacentral:rRNA from 1 species
UACGUAGGGUGCAAGCGUUGUCCGGAAUUAUUGGGCGUAAAGAGCUUGUAGGCGGUUUGUCGCGUCUGCUGUGAAAUUUCGGGGCUCAACCCCGAACUUGCAGUGGGUACGGGCAGACUAGAGUGUGGUAGGGGAGACUGGAAUUCCUGGUGUAGCGGUGAAAUGCGCAGAGAUCAGGAGGAACACCAGUGGCGAAGGCGGCCUUCUGGGUCGACCCUGACGCUGAGGCGCGAAAGCGUGGGGAGCGAACGGG